AAAAACCUCUAAUGACCUUGUUAGAAGCAGGUGACUAAGAGCUUAGUUUUUAGGCUUCUCCCUAGAAAUUUAGAAGCUGUUUCAGUGGUGACCCCUUUCUUAAGGGGCAUGAACAAAUCUGUGGAAUGAAAAAAUUCCUACCACUGCAUUUUUCCAAUUCUUUCUGCAGCAUGAUUUAUCCAGCGCCAUUUAUCUGUCAUCUAAAUAGUUCCAGGAGGUUUUUAUAUAAAAGCUCACCAUAAUGGAGACUCUGUAAAAACUACCUUAUGGGUCAGAGAAGUGGGUACCACUGCAUACUGGUUGUCUGGGUGAUCACAUAGGUGUGAAAUGUAUGGGAAAAGAGAGCUUUUCAUAUUCCAUCUCCCUGAGGCCAGGCUUAAAGGCAUUUAGGGUUGUAAUUACCAAGAUCUGCCCACAAACAGCAUGUGCAUCACCAGGAAUGAAGAAACCUCAGCUAAGAAGGGUCCAACACUGUCAUAGUCAGCGUGUCUGUGUAGUUGAGCAGACUUUGCUGUUUACUGUCUGCACUGAGUGCACUAAAAAUAUUUCAUAUAUUCAGUGGUGCUGAUGCAGAUUCACUUUGCCUGAUUUUAUUACAGGAGUGCAGAGCUGCAGUGCCUCCUUGCUCUUAAUAAAGGUCAGUCUUUUGCUGAGAUAAGUUGUUUCCAAAAGUGCAAAAGUGGUAAAAUUUAAGAUAUGUGGAGGUUAAUUACAUGUAACUGAGAAUUGGGGGGAAAAAAAAACCCAACCAAACAAACCCACAACCCUGCCAAAAUUCCUGCUGAAUUAAAGCAACCACACUUAUGUCAGAAGAGUGGAGGAGUGAAACAAAAUACUGCAUAGAAACCAGAUUGUUAAGAUCUGGGUUAUGGACAGCUUGCUGAUGCACUGUCUAUUUUACACUUUUUUACAAUUUUUUUUUACACUGCUUUACUAUUUUUUUUAUAAAUCUGCUUGCAAGUAAACUUAAAAGACUUAAGAUGAAUGCUUCUGAGCUGUGCUUUGUUCUCCAGGGCAAGCAGCUAUCUUCUAGUUUGCGCUUUGCCACAGCAGAUGAGCAAAGCUGGAACGUUUCCCUUGGUGUGGGCUGAGGUCAUUUCUUCCAGUGAGUCUGUGCGUUACAUUGACAGAAGAUGCACAAAAAAGCUUCUGACGUGAAUUCACGCUCUAACGGUGAAACCACUAGAUGGCUGCAGUGGGGGAGCUGGUUCCCACUAGCUGGCAGGGAAAGGUUCAGACAAACGCUUCCUUUACUAAGGAUCAGCUUUAAACCCGGAAUGUGGUGUGAAUGCUCGAUGAAGAAAUAAACCCUAGAAAUACAGAAAACUCCUCUGAAAACUACCAAAACUCAGCAUUGAGAAACAUUCCCUUAGGUUGACUAAAGAAAGGAUGAAAAGGAAAAAAAUAACGCUUAUUACGUGGCCUAAAGAUAAGUGUAUGCAUAAACAUGGUCUCAUUAGUAUGCAUGAACCAGUAAAACCAGUAUUGCCAUAAGAUCUCAAAGAACUUGGAUGAGUUUUCUUUAAUCAUUUUUUUUAUCGUUUUGGAUUUUUUUUUUUUCUUUUUGUUUGCUGUAUUACAAAGAAUACAGUGUAGCACUUUGAGAAAAGGUGGACCAGUUCUCCUCUAGAGUCAUGGUGUGACCACAGUGGGAGUAAUUUGGAAAUGCAGAUGUUCUUUGCAGAGAAUGGUGGUAAUAGCAAUUAAAAAAAAAAAUCUAUAGUGAUGGCCAAGACACUGAUUCAGUCUGACAGUAUCCAAUACGAUUAGAUAAUACAAUGUACAGGCUUACUAUUGGAUUUUUCUCUCUGGGCUAUGCAGGGGCAUCUUUUCUGUUCAGACCUUUUACACCUUUUUCCCCACCAUUCCCAGACUUCAUUUUUUUUCACUAGGCCUGUUACUGCUAUAUUACUGUAAGAAAAGAAAAUUACUUGAAAGCGUCAGCUCAGGCUCUGUACUGCAGUAACAUGUUGAUUUUUCUCCUGUCUACCCUCGUGGGGUUCCUUUCAGAGACAUAAACUUAUAUCCUAAGGUAUGACAGACAUUUCUUUUAAUUACGAGAAUAUUUUAGUACAUAUAUCUCAGUGUUGCAAUUCAUUCUUUUAACAGUGUAAUGCUGUGAGACACUUGGCAUUUGCUAGAUUUUUCUUCGCUGAGCUCCUGUUCAUCUUGUUACGUUCGUUAGCAGGAAGGAGUCAGACAAGCUUUUACAUUUUGGCUCCCUGGCUGUAACCUGAAGUUGGAAUUUUUAUCUCUGUAUAUUAACGUUCGGUUCAGAAGCAAAAAUCAAGGUGGUGAGUUCCCUGUGAUAAGCUGCAUUUCUUAUUUAAGUUUUUUAAGUCAAGAUUAUGUAAACUUGAAUGUUCCCCAAAUAAUUUUGCCUGUGUUUUUUGUUAAUUUCUGGGUGCAGAUGGGUCUAGCCCUUCCCCUGGCCCAGCUGAAAUUAAUGUGUCCUGAGUAUGUUGUGACUGAGAACACACCUUACCCUUCUCAGACCAAACGUGCUCAGCAUUCCUGUCUCCCUACAGCUUCCCCUCGGGAACGUGCUCCCCGUGCCCUCAUUUACCUUGGGUACACUGCUAAUACUUUUUUUUUUUUUUUAAAUUCCCCCAACAGCUGCUUUUCUUCAGUGAUAAUGGGAUGUCCCUAAGUGGCUAUUGAGUCCUUUGAGAUAAAUAAUUUCAGGACCAGAUUAAUUAAUAUAUUGAUCACAAUCCCCCGCGCUCGAGGCAGAGAGGAGACGGAGCUAUUCCUGACCCGGCCUGCUCGAAGGAAAUACCGAAAGAGUGUUGACCCAGCGUCUGCCAUCCAAAGUGACUCUCAUUGCCUUGGCAACACGACUCGCUCCUACCAGGAAUUAGCUGAAUGGUGUAAGAACCUGAAACGGCAUGUUUGUUCAAGGCAUGCAGUACUAGAUGCAGAAGCCAAGCAGAGAAGGAUGAAGGGAGAUUUUCUUUCGCAUCUUGCACAAUAAGUAGAAAUAAUCAGCAACUGUGCGCUGUGGCUGAGCAGUUUUAGCCGAUUGCUCUAGUAAGCGUGGUGGUUACCAUGAUAAAUC